rnacentral:rRNA from 1 species
AAAGGAAUAGACGGGGGCCCGCACAAGCAGUGGAGUAUGUGGUUUAAUUCGACGCAACGCGAAGAACCUUACCAGGGCUUGACAUCAACUGAAAGCGUAAGAGAUUACGCCCUCGCCUUCGGGCGACAGGAAGACAGGUGGUGCAUGGUUGUCGUCAGCUCGUGUCGUGAGAUGUUCGGUUAAGUCCGGCAACGAGCGCAACCCCUGUCGUCAGUUGCCAUCAUUUGGUUGGGCACUCUGACGAGACCGCCGUUGACAAAACGGAGGAAGGUGGGGAUGACGUCAAAUCAUCAUGCCCCUUAUGUCCUGGGCUACACACGUACUACAAUGGUAACCACAGAGGGCAGCGACACCGCGAGGUGAAGCGAAUCCCAAAAGGUUAUCUCAGUUCAGAUUGCAGGCUGCAACUCGCCUGCAUGAAGCAGGAAUUGCUAGUAAUGGCAGGUCAGCAUACUGCCGUGAAUACGUUCCCGGGCCUUGUACACACCGCCCGU